AAAAAGGCAAACCGUGGGUUCCCGUGCCAACGUUUAACUGUCCGUCUUAUAUGAAAUUUUUUUAUAAUUAGUAUUUUCAUUGUUGUUAGAUGAUAAAACAUGAUUAAUACUUUAUGCGUGACUUAUCUUUUUAAUUUUUUUAUAAUUUCUUCAAAUAAGACGAACGGUCAAACGUUGGACACGGAAACCAUGGUUUGUCUUUUU
rnacentral:pre_miRNA from 1 species